rnacentral:lncRNA from 1 species
GUGUAAUUAAACAACCUGCAGAAAAUCUGCUGUAUGUUUUUAAAAGAUGCUGAACAAAUCCGAAUAAAAAAUGCUUCUCACGAUUAUUUCACAUUCAAUAAUACUGUGAAACAGGUUGGAGAAAGUAUGCAGGACAUAAUAUGAAAACACAAAAAAACGCAACACAAGUAAAGUGCAAGUUCCUUGAAACCGUUCAUUUUGUUGAAUUUUUCAUACAAAAAUGAUAGUGAAAGAUCGGGCAAUGCAAUAUCGUGAUAGUGGAAGAAACAGUCAUGACCAAACGGACGAAGGAUGUUUGCGCUUUUUUCCGUAACACUAAAAUAUAUUUUGACCUUUAUUUUCCUGUACAAAAUUGACAAGACAUUAGUGUUUUCAACCUCUACCAGUUUAUCUGUAAUCUGCAGAAAAUUAACCAAGAUUAUAUUAUUUGAUAGUUC